rnacentral:misc_RNA from 1 species
GAAGGUGAAGAGGGAGAAGAGCGAGAUGAUGAAGGUCCUGAACCAAGUUCUGGGACAAAAAACAAGCAAACAAAAAAGAAAAUUGCCCAAGCUGCCAUGUCCUCAUUUCUUGUAUCUGCUCCUCCAAAACCAAGUACCCAGAAGGCAAGCAAAUCAGUGAGUGCCAUGCUCUGCAAGACUCCAGAAGAAGUAGUUGCAGAGAGGCAUAAAAACAAAACUUCUCAGUCCACCCUUGAGCACUGCACAAAGAAAGGGACACAAGCACAGCAAAUUGUUGACGACCAUGUAGCUGAUUUUCUGUAUGAGAACAAGAUUCCAUUGAAUGUCGUAAACUCAAGAAGUUGGGAGAUUAUGUUGGAGUCUAUUGGUCAGUACGGUCCUGGAUAUCAUGGCCCAUCGUAUCAUGAGGCUAGAGUACCUUGGCUUGAAAGGGCAGUGAAGAGAACAUCGACAUUGAGAGAUAAGCACGAAGAGGCUUGGAAGGAAUAUGGUUGCUCAAUUAUGUCAGAUGGGUGGACCGACACAAGACAACGUCAUUUGAUCAACUUCCUUGCCAACAGUCCAGCAGGGACAUACUUCCUAGGUUCUGUUGAUGCAUCAAGUGAGGUAGCAAAUGCCAAUAUGUUGGCAGAUCUGUUGGAGAAGCAAAUAAUGAAGGUGGGCAAAGAAC